AGACGCAGGGGUCCCCUGUGAUACACCGUGAUCACGGAGGGGUCUUCCCAGGGCGAGGCCCGUCCACUGCACUCCGGAGGUGCCUGCAAUUUCCCCAAAUGUGGGAAACUCGACUGUGUAAUUUGUGGUAGCAGAGGAUGGUUGAUAAAAAAUAACAGCCCUCUA
ensembl:snRNA U1 U1 spliceosomal RNA